UACGGGGGGGGCAAGCGUUGUUCGGAAUUACUGGGCGUAAAGGGCUCGUAGGUGGCCAAUUAAGUCAGACGUGAAAUCCCUCGGCUUAACCGGGGAACUGCGUCUGAUACUGGAUGGCUUGAGUUCGGGAGAGGGAUGCGGAAUUCCAGGUGUAGCGGUGAAAUGCGUAGAUAUCUGGAGGAACACCGGUGGCGAAGGCGGCAUCCUGGACCGACACUGACACUGAGGAGCGAAAGCAUGGGGAGCGAACAGG
rnacentral:rRNA from 1 species